AAAUUUGAAAUCUGGCCCUUGGGUCCGAGUUGUAAUUUGUAGAGGAUGCUUUGGGCGAGGUGCCUUCCGAGUUCCCUGGAACGGGACGCCAUAGAGGGUGAGAGCCCCGUCUGGUCGGACACCGAGCCUGUGUAAAGCUCCUUCGACGAGUCGAGUAGUUUGGGAAUGCUGCUCAAAAUGGGAGGUAUAUGUCUUCUAAAGCUAAAUAUUGGCCAGAGACCGAUAGCGCACAAGUAGAGUGAUCGAAAGAUGAAAAGCACUUUGAAAAGAGGGUUAAAAAGUACGUGAAAUUGUUGAAAGGGAAGCGCCUAUGACCAGACUUGGGCCCGGUGAAUCAUCCAGCGUUCUCGCUGGUGCACUUUGCCGGGCACAGGCCAGCAUCAGUUUGGCGCGGGGGAAAAAGGCGUUGGGAACGUGGCUCCUCCGGGAGUGUUAUAGCCCAUCGCGUAAUACCCUGCGCCGGACUGAGGUACGCGCAUUGCAAGGAUGCUGGCGUAAUGGUCAUCAGCGACCCGUCUUGAAACACGGACCAAGGAGUCGUCUUCGUAUGCGAGUGUUCGGGUGUCAAACCCCUACGCGUAAUGAAAGUGAACGCAGGUGAGAGCUUCGGCGCAUCAUCGACCGAUCCUGAUGUUCUCGGAUGGAUUUGAGUAAGAGCAUACGGGGCCGGACCCGAAAGAAGGUGAACUAUGCCUGUAUAGGGUGAAGCCAGAGGAAACUCUGGUGGAGGCUCGCAGCGGUUCUGACGUGCGAAUCGAUCGUCA
rnacentral:rRNA from 2 species